GACGAACGCUGGCGGCGUGCUUAACACAUGCAAGUCGAACGGUGAAGCGCCUUCCUUUUUGGUGGGUGUGGAUGAGUGGCGAACGGGUGAGUAACACGUGAGUAACCUGCCCCCUUCUUCUGGAUAACCGCAUGAAAGUGUGGCUAAUACGGGAUAUUCUGGGUCUGUCGCAUGAUGGGUCUGAGAAAGAUAUUGUUUCGGUGGGGGAUGGGCUCGCGGCCUAUCAGCUUGUUGGUGGGGUGAUGGCCUACCAAGGCGGUGACGGGUAGCCGGCCUGAGAGGGUGGACGGUCACACUGGGACUGAGACACGGCCCAGACUCCUACGGGAGGCAGCAGUGGGGAAUAUUGCACAAUGGGCGCAAGCCUGAUGCAGCGACGCCGCGUGAGGGAUGGAGGCCUUCGGGUUGUGAACCUCUUUCGCCAGUGAAGCAGGCCUGCCUCGUUUGUGGGUGGGUUGACGGUAGCUGGAUAAGAAGCGCCGGCUAACUACGUGC
rnacentral:rRNA from 1 species